rnacentral:rRNA from 1 species
AUUGCACGCUGGCGGCAGGCCUAACACAUGCAAGUCGAGCGAGCGGCGGACGGGUGAGUAAUGUAUGGGGACUGCCCGAUAGAGGGGGAUAACUACUGGAAACGGUGGCUAAUACCGCAUACUAUCGGAUAACCCAUAUGGGAUUAGCUAUUAGGCGGGGUAAGGGCUCACCUAGGCGACGAUCUCUAGCUGGUCUGAGAGGAUGAUCAGCCACACUGGGACUGAGACACGGUCCAGACUCCUACGGAGGCAGCAGGGGUGAAUAUUGCACAAUGGGCGCAAGCCUGAUGCAGCCAUGCCGCGUGUAUGAAGAAGGCCUUAGGGUUGUAAAGUACUUUCAGCGGGGAGGCGUUACCCGCAGAAGAAGCACCGGCUAACUCCGUGCCAGCAGCCGCGGUAAUUC